UACAAGUACUGUGAAGGAAAGUUGAAAAGCACUUUGAAAAGAGAGUGCAAGAGAACGUGAAACCGUUAUAGUGGAAGCGGAUGGAGCCGACGUAUCCAGUGCGUAUUCAGCCGUUCGCGGAUGCAAUUUUGUUUGGGCAGUUCUGCAAAGCCUGCUCCGGCGAAUUGUUGUGUUCGUGGGCGGUGCAUUUGCGUACAGAGUGCGCCGAAUCGGUUGAUGGCGUCGUUUGAAGGCGCGGAAGAGGACUAGCUUGCUAGAACCCUGCCGCGUCGGACGGCGAAUGCUGUUAAUUGUUUUGGAGUCUAUUACGAUCGUCAGCAGUGACUUGAGUUGUUUAUGUUUAGUGCUUGCAUUACGCAUCUAUGAUUUAGGUCGUUGUUGGCGAUUGCCCGACUCUCAUUCGGUGUCUAGUCGGUCACCCAUUCGACCCGUCUUGAAACACGGACCAAGGAGUUUAAAGUGUACGCAAGUCAUUGAGUGGAAAACUCAGAGGCGUAAUGAAAGUGGGACAAUCAGUGUCUGCAAUGUGACGAGCGGGAUUUUCGAAUCACACCCAGCAACAUUGACCCAUGGCGAGAAUUCAUUCUGUUGUGGAGUCCGAGCGUACUCUUUGAGACCCGAAAGAUGGUGAACUAUGCCCUACCAGUACGAA
rnacentral:rRNA from 1 species